UGUCAUCGGUGUACUAUAUACUUACCGUGGUCGGCGGUGUUGACACAGUUGUGGAGGUUGUCAUCGGUGUACUAUAUACUUACCGUGGUCGGCGGUGAUGACACAGUUGUGGAGUUGUCAUCGGUGUACUAUAUACUUACCGUGGUCGUGGUGAUGACGGUGUUGACACAGUUGUGGAGGUUGUCAUCGGUGUACUAUAUACUUACCGUGGUCGGCGGUGUUGACACAGUUGUGGGGGUUGUCAUCGGUGUACUAUAUACUUACCGUGGUCGGCGGUGUUGACACAGUUGUGGAGUUGUCAUCGGUGUACUAUAUACUUACCGUGGUCGGCGGUGUUGACACAGUUGUGGAGGUUGUCAUCGGUGUACUAUCUACUUACCGUGGUCUGCGGUGUUGACACAGUUGUGGAGGUUGUCAUCGGUGUACUAUAUACUUACUGUGGUCGGCGGUGAUGACGGUGUUGUGGAGGUUGUCAUCGGUGUACUAUAUACUUACCGUGGUCGGCGGGGAUGACGAUGUUGUGGAGUUGUCAUCGGUGUACUAUAUACUUACCGUGGUCGUGGUGAUGACGGUGUUGACACAGUUGUGGGGGUUGUCAUCGGUGUACUAUAUACUUACCGUGGU